ensembl:lncRNA
CUCAAAUCUAUUUGCUAAUAAGUACAAGGUACAGGGCUUGCAAGCAAGUUGGAUAAACUGUUAGGAAAAAUCCAGAAAGUUUUGUAAAUGAGAUUCUAUUUUUACCUCUUCAGAGGAACUAUUUUUGCUUUCCUCACAAAGGCGGCGGAGGAGUAUUGAAUACCGGAGGUGUGAGCUGUACUUGUUCUAUAAAUACUCCGCUGCGGACUGUGCGACAGGCAUUGAGGCAGCGAGCGCAGAGAUGGCUUUAGGGAUGGAGAUGCUGCUUGAGGAGCCCGCAGAUAAGUUUUUCUAUUAAAAAAGAUAGGCGUUAGUGUAUUUCUUUAGGGAUUAUAAGUAGUGAAAAUACGGAGAUACUGCUUUGCAUUAAGUUCUUAGAUAAAUUUUAGGGAAAAUAUGAAGACUUAAAGAGUAGUUGGAGAAAGGAAGAGGGAAGAAAAAAGAUAAUUUUAGAACCUGAGGGAGGUUAAGAGCUGAAAUUUUUUCAUGGAGUGAAAAAUUUAAAAGAAUUGAUGAGCUAGGACUGCAAUGUCUGGAUUUUUUUUUUAAAGCCUUAACUUGAAGGGCAACCUUUUACCUUAACAUUAAAACGUUGGGUUACGUAAAUCGAACCUAAACGUUUUAAAAGGUUGAGUUGUAGGUGAUUAAAAUACUACAAAGGCCAUCUUAAGAUUUAACUGAAGGUGGUUUCAGAAAUAAUGCCUUCAGAUUCACGGCGCAGUAAAAAUGGCGUCAUUUGAAGCCUGCUUGAUACUAAGGCUUUGUUUGGCUAAAGUUGACGGAAAUAUUAGGAAUGGUAGGAAAGAAAAUUGGAAGUUUGAAGUGGAAAAUUCGGAAGACAGAAGUACAGGAAGGUGAAGAAAAAACUAGAGAAGAUAAGAGAUACACGUUUUAGAAGAUAAAACCUGAGCCUAGUAAGUAGGCAGAAAAAGACAAAUCUAGGAGAAAAUUGAAAAUACGGUCGAGUGCUUAAGAUAGAAUGAAAAGAAAGCUAUUGGACGCAAACAUACAAGAUAGACGUCCAAAAAUUUAGAUAGUUCAAAAUCAAUAAUGUUGGAUAAAUUACAGGAACAAAAACUAAGGAAAUUUUUAUAGCCAAUAAGAAUUUAUUGUAAAAGCCCAUCAACUUAUUUCUGGUGGUGCAAAAGUUAGAUCUCAGAAGAUGAGGGUUUUUUUUUUUAAAACUACUGUAGACCAGGACCAACUUAGAAGAAAAUCCGGAAACUAGGAGAGUCAAUUUAAAAUCUCAGCAAAAAGUUACUGAAGGGGACUGAAGUAACUUAAAAGUUAAGAAUGUAUUUGGGAGAGUUAAAAAUCUGAAAGGCCUUAAAUGCGGUAGCGUAGUUUCCUUUGGAAAAUGUAAAGGACUUUAUAAGUGAAUUAAAUUGAAGAGCAAGAAUAACCAUCGAGUUAUUGGACUUUGAGCUAAGAUGAAUGUUUAAAUCCUGAGGACUAGGCGCUAAAUAACAGCUGACGCAGGUGCUACGCAGAAGUGGAUUCAGUGAAGCUAGGAAGACAGGAGCGGCAGACAGGAUUCGGAGCCAGUGUUGGUGAAAACUAGGACUGAGGAGCCAGCGGCAGUUCGUGAAGAUAGGAAAGAGAAGCCCGGGAGCCAGUGCGACUUGGUGAAGGAAGCUAGGAAGAAGGAGCGAGUCCUAACGAUUUGGAGGUGAAGCUAGGAGAGGAUUCCAGGAAGGAGGAAGCCAGUGCGGUGUGGUGAAGCUAGCGUGCGGCUUGGCUUGGCAACCACGCGGAGGCGGCGAGCAGGCGGAGUGGAGGAUAGAUAGAGGAUCCUAGAGCAGCAGACCAGUGUACGAGCCCCGCAGGGAGAGCCAGUGGUGUGGUAAAAAUCCGUGAAGUCGGCACUAUCGUGAUUUAAUAAAACUUAAUACUACUAUAGGAGCUUCAGAGCAAAGGAGGUGGCUUAAUGAUCCUGAAGGGAUUUCUUCUGGUGGUAGCUUUUGUAUUAUCAAGUAAGAUUCUUUUUUCGGCUGUAUAUAAGCAAGAUUGUUUGGUUUAUUCUUUUCUUUUUUAGCGUAGGAAAAGUUUGUUGUUAAGGUAUGCUUCAAAAUUAUUGUUAAUUGUAUUUUGAAUUUACAUCUAAGCCUUGUAAAUCAUAACUGAUAAGAGGGGGUGGGCUUUUGUUGAUGAGGGAGGGGAAACCUUUUUUUUUUGUAGACUUUUUUCAGAUAACAUCUUCUGAGUCAUAACCAGCCUGGCAAUCUGAUGGCCUAGAUGGAGAGGGGAACAGCUCCUUGGUGAAUGAUAAGUAAAGGCAGAAAAGAUUGUAUUUCAUACCUACAUUGGGGAAAAAAGCAUAACCCUGAGAUUUUCUUCUGAUGAACACAUUGUCUGCACAUGCAAAAAAAAAAGCAAAUGAAAACUACCAAUUUAAAGUUAAUGGAAUCUACUACUAUAAAGUUAAUGGCUUAUCAAGCUGUAUCCACAAAAAUAAUGAAUUGAUGAAAAAUAAAAAUAACGAUACAAUGAAGAUCAAAAUGUCAAUCUCAAUACUGCUUUUACAAAAGCAGAAUUAAAAAAGCGAAAUGAAAAUAGCGCUACAUAUUAAUCCUGGAAAAAAAAGAAGCUGAAAUAAUUGAAAUGAGUGGGAUCAAGUGAAUUGAGAGGAGGAAGAGGCUGUGCUGUUUGCCAAUCUUUCGUUUGCCUCAGACAGGUUUUUCUUCAUUAUCAGAAGAGUUGCUUCAUUUCAUCUGGGAGCAGAAAACAGCAGGCAGCUGUUAACAGAUAAGUUUAACUUGCAUCUGCAGUAUUGCAUGUUAGGAAUAAGUGCUUACCUUUGUGAAGAGCUGUGGAAGUCCUAGGUCCCUUACCUAAGGGAUUCCAGGAUUGUGAGGCAUCGUCCCAUCCAGCCUUUUAAAAUUAGACAGGACAGCGUUCCUGUGGGCUUUGAUGAUGGGACAGCACAUUUCAUUCAAGAGGCAAGUAAUUCCUUAAAGCCUCUUGAGAUUAGCAAAGAUAAUGUUUAUAAAACUAAGAACAUUUGUUUAGCCUUGAAUCUGACAGCCCUAUUUAAGGGAUAGUAUUGUACUGUUAAGAAUUCAGAUUUUGUUAAUCUUGCUAAAAUUCAAAUGUUACGUGUAUUGUGCAGAAAACCAUUAAAUCAUUCAAAAUAAAAUACUUUUAUUUUUAGAGAAUGUAUGCUUUUAGGAAGCUGUCUCCUUAUUUAAAUAAAACAUUGUUUGUCUGUAGUUAGUGUUGGGGCAAUCUGGGGGGGGUUUCUUCUCAUCUUUCAGAAACUUUGUCUGCGAACACUCUUUAAUGGACAAGAUCAGGAAAUUGAGCAGAAGAACGAAUUUAAUUUAAGGCAGGAAAAAAUUUUGUCCUUCGUAAAAGUGAUGAGCAUUUAAUAAUUCCAGGCACAUGGCAAUAGAGGCCCUCUAAAUAAGGAAUAAAUACCUCUUAGACAGGUGGGAGAUUAUGAUCAGAAGAACAGGUAACUUAACUCCUACAAUGUUUGCAGAAAGUCAGGAGUCUGUCUAGUGGUUAAACUAGAGUAAUGGAAUGUACUGUCCACAUUUCCAGUUUGCAUGUUAACUUUGCUUAGUCAUCUCAUCUGGUGUUAGCCAGUGUUCACACUGUUGGCCUACUUUUUAGAUACCUGGUGGGGGGGUGGUUGGUUUUUUUUUUUUUUUUUAAAGAAUUUUCCUUUGCAGAGGCUUCAUUUCAUCCUUCGUGAAGCUUUUCAGGAUUUUGGCUUUCAUGUAAACGCUUGGCUCUGCCUUCUGUUCUCCUAGGGAGUGUUUCAGACCUUGCAGUGAGUUUAUCGGCAUAUUUAAGUAUAAACAUUUUUCCCCUUGAAUUUGGAGGGAAGGGAGGAGAGGGUGGGGCUUACUUGUUUUAGCUUUUUUUUUUACAGACUACACAGAAUGCAGUUGUCUUGACCUCAGGUCUGUGUGUUCUCUUGGCAAGUAAUACAGUACUGUUCUGAUCCGCUGCUAUUAGAAUGCAUUUUGAAACGACUGGAGUAUGAGUCAAAGUUGUGUUUCCCCCAAUGCUUGGAGUGGAGUAGUGAUUGUUAAAAGAAAAUCCAGCUGAGUGAUAAAAGGCUGAGUGUUGAGGAAAUUUCUGCAGCUUUUUAAGCAUUCAUGUUUGUGAUUGGAGCGGAGUCCCUUUUGCUGUGCUUUUUUUUAGGUAAAAUGCUUUUUGUUCACUUCUGGUAAGGGGGUGGGGAGGGCACUGAAGCCUUUAGUCUUUUCCAGAUGCAACUUUAAAAUCAGUGACAAGAAAUAAUUCCAAACGAGCAGCACUCUUGAAGAAAUUUAACUGGCAAGUGGAAAUGUUUACCAACAGUUCAGUGGUCUUAGUGCAUUUGUUUUUGUUUGGGUGUCUCUCUCUCCUCCCCUGGUCUUAAUUUCAUAUACAGGAACAUUCAAAACAACAGACAGACGUAUGCGAAAGGCCAGAGAAGCCAGACCCAGUAAGGAAAAAUAGCUUACUUACUUUUAAAAUAAUAAACCAAAAAACACUGCAUUUUAAAUGUGGGGAUUGGGAACCACUAGUUCUUGCAGAUGGUAUUCUUCAGACUAUAGAAGGAGCUUCCAGUUGAAUUCACCAGUGGACAAAAUGAGGACAACAGGUGAACAAGUUUUUUCUAUGUCUACAUACCAAGUCAGAUCUGUAUGAGUAAACAACAAUUCAGUGUUAAAUGACCUUUCAGCUUUACGCUGGAGUCAACAGCAUGAGCAAGUUGUUUGUUGGCCUGGGGGUGGAGGGGUGAGGUGGGCGCUAAGCCUUUUUUUUAAGAUUUUUCAGGUACCCCUCACUAAAGGCACCAAAGGCUUAAAGUAGGACAACCAUGGAGUCUUCCUGUGGCAAGAGAGACAACAAAGCGCUAUUAACUAAGGUCAAUCAAAAUGGUGUCGGCCUCACAGCCCCAUCUUCUGUUAGAAAUGAGGACUUGACUCAACCCCCUUGACAAUGUGCAUUGAGGCUCUCUGGGGGAGCGAGCAUUUAAAGGAAUGCUUGAGUACCUUGUAUAUAUAUCCCUGUGCUUGUCCUAAUAUUUAAUUUGGCUGUUUUCAUAGCAGCUGUUAAUGAAGCCUGAACUUCAAGUGAUGCUUGAAGGGGAGGGAAAGGGGGAAAGCGGGCAACCACUUUUCCCUAGCUUUUCCAGAAGCCUGUUAAAAAGCAAGGUCUCCCCACAAGUGACUUCUCUGCCACAUCGCCACCCUGUGCCUUUGGCCUAGCGCAGACCCUUCACCCCUCACCUCGAUGCUGCUGGUAGCUUGGAUCCUUGUGGGCAUGAUCCAUAAUCGCUUUUAAGGUAAUUGCCAAGGUCUUCCGGUGGGUUGCACUACUAGAAAAGACCAUUAAUUUACCUGUCAACAGGUAAUAUUUAGACCACAACUAAAAAGCUCUUAAAGUGUUGUAAAUGUGUGGCAUUAUCCAAUGACUUUAAAAAAACAUUUCAAACCAGUAAGUGGAGAAAUAGCAUCUAAGAACUGUCAUAUUGGGUGGGAGAGUACAUUUAUGAACUGAAAAGUGUUUUGGCAGUUGAGAGGGCUGUUGGGUGGGAUUGCAAAAAUUCUCUGCUAAGACUUUUUCAGGUGAACAUAACAGACUUGACCAAGCUAGCACCUUAGCUGAAGCAGAUUCUCCAGUGCUCUUCAAUAGGGUUAUUGAUAAAGGUUUUUCUUUUCCUGAGAAAACAAAAUCUUUUUUGUUUUCUCAGGUUUUGCUUUUUUGCCUUUUCUUAUCUUAAAAAAAAAAGCAAAAGAUGCUGGUGGUUGGCACUCCUGGUUUCCAGGACGGGGUUCAAAUCCCUGUGGCGUCUUUGCUUGACUUUUACUCUCCAGACUCUACUUCCUGUCUCUCAGGUGCUAGGCCUUAGAAUUAGGGGAGGUGGAAGAUAAUAGUGUGAAACUCUGCAUUUGUGUUUACAUGACAACGUAAUGUAACUACCAUGCAUCUAAUUUGCAGAUAUUCCUCAUGCAACUAGUGAUUGGAGAAGCCUGUUUUGAAAAAUUGAUUACACAUAUCAAUAAAAAUUGAAAAAACUUCACUGGUGUGAUUCAUUUAUGUAUAUACCAAACUUCUGUUCGUGAAUAGAAAAUGGAUGUUUUGUGAGUGUUCUGCCUGGUUCCUGUAUAAGUAUAUGGUUCUGUCAUGCAGCCCCAUCUCCAGGAAGAGCAGGGAUCUACAGAGGAAAGGGGUGAAAUGGAGUGGUGGUGGUUUAGUUGCUAAGUUGUGUCCAACUCUUGGAACUCCAUGCACUGGAGCCGGCCGUGCUCCUCUGUCCGUGGAAUUUUCCAGGCAAGAACACUGAAGUGGGUUGCCAUUUCCUUCUCCAGGGGAUCUUCCUGACCCAGGAAUUGAACCCAGGUCUCCUGCAUUGCAGGCAGAUUCUUUACGAACUGAGCUACGAGGGAAGCCUGUGUUUUCAGAGUAGAAGUUUUAAAUCUUCAACAAAUCACUAAUGUGUACAGUAACAUGGAGAAAUUUCAAAAUAAUUACAUUGUGAAGAAGAAGCCAGUUUUAAAAAAAUACAUACAGGGAAUUCCCUGGCAGUCCACUGGUUAUGACCUUUCACUGCCAAGGGUGCAGUUUCAAUCGCUGGUUGGGAAACUGAGAUCCUGCAAAGUCAGUGACACUGUCAAAAAAAAAAGUACAUACAGUCCGGUUCCAUGUAUACAAAAUUUUUCAAAAAUAAAAACUAAUCUAAAAUAACAGCCAAGGAAUUCCCUGGUGGUACAGUGGGUAAGAAUCUGCCUGCCAAUGCAGGGGGCACAGUUUCAAUCUCUGGUUCGGGAAGAUCCCACAUGCCUCUGAGCAAUGAAGCCCAUGUGCCACAACUACUGAGCCCAGGGGCUGCGACUACUAAAGCCCGUG